rnacentral:lncRNA from 1 species
ACAAUUAUACACGUGCAAUCUCACUUGGGUCGGGUCAACCGGCCCAAGUGUAUAAUGUAAUAAAAAUUAAUUGGGCCAGAAUACAUUGAGGCCCAAAGCUGACUAAGCCUAUAAUAUACAGCAUAUACAAAGAAUAUACAACAAAUAUACAAUCCAAUAUCAAUGUUUAUGAUUAGGCUUAGAGGCCAAAUAAUCUUGUAGCUCAACA